rnacentral:misc_RNA from 1 species
AUAAUUUCCCAUCACACCAAAGAAAUUGUGAUAUAACUUAAAUUUUAGAUUUUAACUGCUAUAAACACCAAUGAGUAACAAUGGCUGACCAGUAUACUGCGACAUAUCAACGAAGAUUAACCCAAAUCCCAAAUCUGUGGAGCUGAAAUGCCAGUCCAACCAUGCAGUCACACAUAAAGGCCAGUGACAAUUACCAAAUGCCAUCAACUAUUAGCAAAAGCUAGUUUAACAUUACACAAUUGUGGGGCAACUAAUAGUUACCAUAAACCAGCAGUUCUUAGAUAUAGAAGUUUUCACAUUACACAAGAUGAGGGUAUUGCUUGGCUUGCU